UAGAGUUUGAUCCUGGCUCAGAUUGAACGCUGGCGGCAGGCCUAACACAUGCAAGUCGAGCGGUAGCAGGAAGUGCUUGCACUUCGCUGACGAGCGGCGGACGGGUGCGUAACACGUAGGAAUCUGCCCGGUAGUGGGGGAUAGCCCGGAGAAAUUCGGAUUAAUACCGCAUACGCCCUAAGGGGGAAAGCAGGGGAUCGGUUCGCCGACCUUGCGCUAUCGGAUGAGCCUGCGUCGGAUUAGCUUGUUGGUGGGGUAAAGGCCUACCAAGGCAACGAUCCGUAGCUGGUCUGAGAGGAUGAUCAGCCACACUGGGACUGAGACACGGCCCAGACUCCUACGGGAGGCAGCAGUGGGGAAUAUUGCACAAUGGGCGAAAGCCUGAUGCAGCCAUGCCGCGUGUGUGAAGAAGGCCCUAGGGUUGUAAAGCACUUUCAGUGGGGAGGAAAGGUUGAAGGUUAAUACCCUUCAGCUGUGACGUUACCCACAGAAGAAGCACCGGCUAACUCCGUGCCAGCAGCCGCGGUAAUACGGAGGGUGCGAGCGUUAAUCGGAAUUACUGGGCGUAAAGCGUGCGUAGGCGGCUUUUUAAGUUGGAUGUGAAAGCCCCGGGCUCAACCUGGGAACUGCAUCCAAAACUGGAAAGGCUCGAGUGCGAGAGAGGAGUGUGGAAUUUCCUGUGUAGCGGUGAAAUGCGUAGAUAUAGGAAGGAACACCAGUGGCGAAGGCGACACUCUGGCUUGACACUGACGCUGAGGUACGAAAGCGUGGGGAGCACACAGGAUUAGAUACCCUGGGAAUCCACGCCGUAAAC
rnacentral:rRNA from 1 species